UUCUUCUUUUGAGGUUGACUAUCAAAUUCCCGCUCCUCUUCAUCAAUAUCUAUUAUAUCUCCAAAAUAAAAUUUCAUUCUUUCAAAAUAUGCAGGAAUCUGUUGGAUCACUGAAGACACUACAGUCACCUGGUUAAAAAUUUCUCUAGACUGCCCAUUGUGACUGUCUCUUACUUCCUAUUCUUCCUCACCUUCACUACUGUCUAGCUCAAUAAUUUCUUUUUCCUCUUCUUCAUCUUCACUACUCCCAAUUUCCACAACUUCCCUAUCCACUUUCCUCUUGCUCCUAGUUACAACAACUUUACACUCCUCUUU
rnacentral:lncRNA from 1 species